UAACAUAAGGGAAAAUAAUGAUAUUACCUUAUUAUUAGUGUCGUCCAAAACUGGUGCCAGAAGACUCGGUAAGGCCAGAGACACAAACGUUAAUCGUCUUAAUCAGGCGUAAAGGGUUUGUAGGCGGCUUUAAAAUUUACUUAUAAUAAAAAAACAAAACAAAAAUAAUAAGUAAAAAAUAAAAGCUAGAAUCAAAUAGAGGAUAUAUGAAAGAAUGCUUAGAGUAGGUCUGAUAUCCUUAGAUACUAAGUAGAAUAUUAAAGGCGAAAGCUUUUUUCCAUUAAUGAUUGACGCUCAGAAACGAAGGUGAGGAUAGGAAAUAGGAUUAGAUACCCAGAUACCCCUCUCUGUCAACGAUGAAUGGUAGUUAUUAGUAAAAAUUUUAUUAAUGGCAAUGUUAACACGAUAACCAUUCCGCCUUGUGAGUACAAUUGCAAAGUUGAAAACAAAAAAAUUAGUCGGUUUCGGAGCAAACGAAGUGAAGCAUGUUAUUUAA
rnacentral:rRNA from 1 species